CGGGUGAAAAGCCCGCUCGCCGGAAGACCAAGGGUUCCUGUCCAACGUUAAUCGGGGCAGGGUGAGUCGACCCCUAAGGCGAGGCCGAAAGGCGUAGUCGAUGGGAAACAGGUUAAUAUUCCUGUACUUGGUGUUACUGCGAAGGGGGGACGGAGAAGGCUAUGUUGGCCGGGCGACGGUUGUCCCGGUUUAAGCGUGUAGGCUGGUUUUCCAGGCAAAUCCGGAAAACUAAGGCUGAGGCGUGAUGACGAGGCACUACGGUGCUGAAGCAACAAAUGCCCUGCUUCCAGGAAAAGCCUCUAAGCAUCAGGUAACAUCAAAUCGUACCCCAAACCGACACAGGUGGUCAGGUAGAGAAUACCAAGGCGCUUGAGAGAACUCGGGUGAAGGAACUAGGCAAAAUGGUGCCGUAACUUCGGGAGAAGGCACGCUGAUAUGUAGGUGAAGUCCCUCGCGGAUGGAGCUGAAAUCAGUCGAAGAUACCAGCUGGCUGCAACUGUUUAUUAAAAACACAGCACUGUGCAAACACGAAAGUGGACGUAUACGGUGUGACGCCUGCCCGGUGCCGGAAGGUUAAUUGAUGGGGUCAGCGCAAGCGAAGCUCUUGAUCGAAGCCCCGGUAAACGGCGGCCGUAACUAUAACGGUCCUAAGGUAGCGAAAUUCCUUGUCGGGUAAGUUCCGACCUGCACGAAUGGCGUAAUGAUGGCCAGGCUGUCUCCACCCGAGACUCAGUGAAAUUGAACUCGCUGUGAAGAUGCAGUGUACCCGCGGCAAGACGGAAAGACCCCGUGAACCUUUACUAUAGCUUGACACUGAACAUUGAGCCUUGAUGUGUAGGAUAGGUGGGAGGCUUUGAAGUGUGGACGCCAGUCUGCAUGGAGCCGACCUUGAAAUACCACCCUUUAAUGUUUGAUGUUCUAACGUUGACCCGUAAUCCGGGUUGCGGACAGUGUCUGGUGGGUAGUUUGACUGGGGCGGUCUCCUCCUAAAGAGUAACGGAGGAGCACGAAGGUUGGCUAAUCCUGGUCGGACAUCAGGAGGUUAGUGCAAUGGCAUAAGCCAGCUUGACUGCGAGCGUGACGGCGCGAGCAGGUGCGAAAGCAGGUCAUAGUGAUCCGGUGGUUCUGAAUGGAAGGGCCAUCGCUCAACGGAUAAAAGGUACUCCGGGGAUAACAGGCUGAUACCGCCCAAGAGUUCAUAUCGACGGCGGUGUUUGGCACCUCGAUGUCGGCUCAUCACAUCCUGGGGCUGAAGUAGGUCCCAAGGGUAUGGCUGUUCGCCAUUUAAAGUGGUACGCGAGCUGGGUUUAGAACGUCGUGAGACAGUUCGGUCCCUAUCUGCCGUGGGCGCUGGAGAACUGAGGGGGGCUGCUCCUAGUACGAGAGGACCGGAGUGGACGCAUCACUGGUGUUCGGGUUGUCAUGCCAAUGGCACUGCCCGGUAGCUAAAUGCGGAAGAGAUAAGUGCUGAAAGCAUCUAAGCACGAAACUUGCCCCGAGAUGAGUUCUCCCUGACUCCUUGAGAGUCCUGAAGGAACGUUGAAG
rnacentral:rRNA from 1 species